rnacentral:rRNA from 1 species
GUCGAGGGGCAGCAUUUUAGUUUGCUUGCAAACUGAAGAUGGCGACCGGCGCACGGGUGAGUAACACGUAUCCAACCUGCCGAUAACUCCGGGAUAGCCUUUCGAAAGAAAGAUUAAUACCGGAUGGCAUACUAAUAUCGCAUGAUAUUUCUAUUAAAGAAUUUCGGUUAUCGAUGGGGAUGCGUUCCAUUAGUUUGUUGGCGGGGUAACGGCCCACCAAGACUACGAUGGAUAGGGGUUCUGAGAGGAAGGUCCCCCACAUUGGAACUGAGACACGGUCCAAACUCCUACGGGAGGCAGCAGUGAGGAAUAUUGGUCAAUGGGCGAGAGCCUGAACCAGCCAAGUAGCGUGAAGGAUGAAUGCUCUAUGGGUCGUAAACUUCUUUUAUAUGGGAAUAAAGUAUUCCACGUGUGGAAUUUUGUAUGUACCAUAUGAAUAAGGAUCGGCUAACUCCGUGCCAGCAGCCGCGGUAAUACGGAGGAUCCGAGCGUUAUCCGGAUUUAUUGGGUUUAAAGGGAGCGUAGGUGGAUUGUUAAGUCAGUUGUGAAAGUUUGCGGCUCAACCGUAAAAUUGCAGUUGAAACUGGCAGUCUUGAGUACAGUAGAGGUGGGCGGAAUUCGUGGUGUAGCGGUGAAAUGCUUAGAUAUCACGAAGAACUCCGAUUGCGAAGGCAGCUCACUAGACUGUCACUGACACUGAUGCUCGAAAGUGUGGGUAUCAAACAGGAUUAGAUACCCUGGUAGUCCACACAGUAAACGAUGAAUACUCGCUGUUUGCGAUAUACAGUAAGCGGCCAAGCGAAAGCAUUAAGUAUUCCACCUGGGGAGUACGCCGGCAACGGUGAAACUCAAAGGAAUUGACGGGGGCCCGCACAAGCGGAGGAACAUGUGGUUUAAUUCGAUGAUACGCGAGGAACCUUACCCGGGCUUAAAUUGCAUC